rnacentral:ncRNA from 1 species
CUAUGAUUGAAUAAAUCAUGGCGGAAGGAG